rnacentral:ncRNA from 1 species
CCUUAAUGUAUGUCCUAUCCAACGUUUAAUUCGACUCAACACGGGAAAACUCACUCGGUCCGGACUGACAGAUUGAUAGCUCUUUCUUGAUUCGGUGGGUGGUGGUGCAUGACCGUUCUUAGUUGGUGGGGCGAUUUGUCUGGUUAAUCCCGAUAACAAACGAGACUUUAACCUGCUAAAUAGUAGACUGGUCAUCUGUGUUCGUUUAGAGCGCGGCUUCUAUUGCUUCUUUAUGGAGUAGUGUGGUCGUGAUCCGGCGGGUGCGGUGCCAGUUUUUACUUCUUAGAGGGACAAGCGGCACACUUAAGUCGCACGAAAUUGAGCAAUAACAGGUCUGUGAUGCCCUUAAAUGUCCGGAGUCACACGUGCGCUACAAUGACGGUGCCAGCGAGUCUGGAAACCUGACCCGAAAGGGUUGGGCAAACUGUUUCAUCACCAUCGAGACUGGGAUCGGGGCUUGCAAUUAUUCCCCGUGAACAAGGAAUUCCUGGUAAGUGCAAGUCAUAAGCUUGUGCUGAUUACGUCCC